rnacentral:snRNA from 1 species
AGCUUUGCACAGUGGCAGUAUCGGCCAAUGAGGUUUAUCCAAGGCGUGAUUAUUGCUAAUUAAAAACUUUUCCCAAUACCCUGCCGUGACAACUCGCAAUAUAGUCGGCAUUGGCAAUUUUUGACAGUCUCUACGGAGA